rnacentral:misc_RNA from 1 species
AUUUUGAACAAGAUGUAGCAACCAGCCAAACAAAGUGUAAAAGACCUAAUGCCAUGCCAAAAAUGGUAUAUCCAUAGUACCUUCUAACAUGAGAACUACAUUCCUCAUAGAAGGGCGCAAAUCAGGGUCAUCAUGAAUGCAUAACAAUCCAACCUUCACCAUCCUCUCCAUGGACUUCACAUCUACUUCCUCAUCUCCCACUAACUUUCUGAUAUCAUUCUCGACAAAGCAUUUAUAUACCCAACUAGGAAGAAAGAUUUCAUCCUCUGUUGAGACGUUAACAUCCAUAUUACUUCUACAGCAUAUGAUCUCCAAGAGCAUUACUCCAUAGCUAUAAACAUCUACCUUAUCGGAGAUCAACACACUAUUCUGCAACUCUGGUGCCGAAUACCCUCUUGUUCCUUUAAGCUGAAGUUGGUUCCCUACUUGAUCAGGCACCAGAAACUUAGAAAGCCCAAAUUCAGAGAUUUUAGCCGUCCAUGAAUCAUCUACUAGGAUAUUGUGUGGCUUUAUGUUGCAGUGAAUAAUGCAAGUCUCACAUUUUUCGUGCAGAUAAAGUAUACCCCUUGAUAUAUCCAAUGCAAGUCUCAUCCUUUGCUCCCAAGAAGGUCUUGUUUCAGAACUGAAUAUAAUAUCUGCGAGUGAUCCGUUGCUCAUGUACUCAUAAACAAGAAGUUUUUUAGAUCCCUCCAAGCAAAACCCUAGCAAAUGAACCAAGUUUUUGUGACGAGCUUGCCCAAUCGCGGUCAUUUCUGCUUUAAAUUCCCUUUCUCCUUCAUCCCCGAUUUUCUCCAAUCGUUUUACAGAAACUGUUCUGUUACCUUCUGAUAGAAUUCCUUUAUAGACGUUUCCAAAUGAACCAUGUCUUUUAUCUUCCUUGAAAUGUUCAGUGGCUUUCUCAAGCUCACUGUAAGAAAAUGAUCGAAGAGUGAACUCCUCGUUUGGCCCCAAAUAUGGAUUUUCCAAUAGCUUUUGGUAUUCGUCGGCUCUGAUUCGGUAGAAAAUAUAACUGAAAAUUGCAACAACAGUGAACAGAAAUGCUACAGAACCAAGAACCAGGGAUAGAAUCAAUAUUAUCUCUUUACUACUUUCAUUUCUGUUCCUUGUUUUUCCAGGAUAGGGAGUGGAGUGACCUGCCAUUUGGGAGAUGUUAUAACUCUGCUUGACAAAGCUCUUGACGGACUCAUCAUUUUGUUCAAGUGUAGAAUCAACGAAUGGAAGCUUAAAUUUGCUGCAAACUCCAUUCAUGUAUUGAGCAGCCCAACAAGUACAAUCACCCAAGCAAGAAUUUCUACAGUCCUGCUCAACCAUUG